AUUUCAUACACCCUGUACUUUUAAUGUUAUAUAAUUAUGGUGUCAAUAGGAUGUGGGAACUGAAAACAUUCCUCUUCCUUCCUGUGAUCAGAUAUGUAAUAAGUACUUUAGAGUUGAUGGUAGCUGAAGACUAUAUGAUUGUGUACUUGAAUGGUGCAACCCCAAGAAGGAGGAUGCCAGGGCUAGGCUGGAUGAAGAAAUGCUACCAGAUGAUUGACAGACGGUUGAGGAAGAAUUUGAAAUCAUUCAUCAUUGUUCAUCCAUCUUGGUUCAUCAGAACAAUCCUUGCUGUGACACGACCUUUUAUAAGUUCAAAAUUCAGCAGUAAAAUUAAAUAUGUCAAUAGCUUAUCAGAACUCAGUGGGCUGAUACCAAUGGAUUGCAUCCACAUUCCAGAGAGCAUCAUCAAUAUUGACUUGAAGCUGAAAGAAAAGCCUUAGUUGGCCACGCUGGAAGAAGAGGAUGCUUUUCUGGUUCAUGGUUCUGUUGAAAAAUAUCUACCUGAAAGAGACAGGGCUGAUGUUACCUUUUUCCACUUUGCACUACCUGGUGCCAUUCUAAAUUUCUAAGGGGAAAAACAGAAAGAAAGUUUGUUUACUCUUAAGAUAUUUUAUGAAAUUGUGUGUACUUUCCUAUUUUGCCAAUUAUGUGCCUCAAAGAUUUUAGUUGAGCCUUAGCAAGAAAGUAGGACCUUCCAUUUCAAUACUUCAUUAAAACAGUGCAGUGAUACUUUGUCCCUUAGACUGGUGUUUACCAGUAAAAUACCUUUAAUCCACUGUUAAGUAUGAGUGGAUUUGUUUCCAUAGAUUAGCUGGAUUUCCUUUUGGUGAUUGCAUUAGGUUUAAAGUACACAGGGCUCAACUCUCCCCAGGAAAGUUUCCCCUGUUUGACUCCACCUUUAAAAUCCUAAGCCUGACUAGGACAGCCACAAACCACACAAGGUGUAAAACCAUCGUCAGCUAAGUGCCCGUUUUGUUCUUGUUUACGAGAAUCUCCUUUAACUUCUCAAAGGGAAGCCAGGCUUUCUAAUCCACGUCAACUUUAUUUUAGUUGUCAAAUUGGGUGUUAUAUUUUAUGUAAAUUGGUCUUUUAACAGAUCAUUUUCCUGAUGAAUGUUGGUGACCACCACAUUGUGAAAUUUAAGAAUCCGUGUUGCAUAUUUGGUAGCUCUCUGAGCUUCAGGCCAUAAACUUAGCUCCAGAGGUUACCUUGUAAGUGCCAAGAACUCAAGUGCAAGGUGGCCUACUCAAAAAUCAUUUGGUAGCAUUCAGUUAUUCAUGAAUUCCUCUCUCGCAUGCAUUGUGAUCUGCUUUAAAACACUGUAAUCUGAUCAUAGGCUUAAAAUUAAAUAUGAGUAUGUACUUUCAUGUACAAAAUAUUUCCUUUAUAGUCUUCAUAUGCCCUUUAAAAUGCCAACAAGAUUUCAAGUCUGUAGGCCUCUAGUGAGGUGGGGUGGCAAACCACAGCUAAGUCUCGCUCACCACUGCAAGCUAAGAAUGGUUUUUACAUUUUGGGUUGGAAAAUUUUUUUUUUGAAUAUUUCAUGACACAUGAAAAUUAUUCAAAUGUUAGUACUGAUAAAUAAAGUGUUACUGAAACACAGCCACACAAACUUGUUUUUGUACUGUCUACAGCUACUUUCACACUACAGCCGCAGAGCUGAGCAGUUCAGCAGACCGUAUGUCCCACAAUGCCUAAAACAUUGACUAUGUUUACAGAAAAAGUUUGCUGACCCCUGCUCUAGCAAACGCAUCCUUUCCUACUCCACCCCAAUUUGUAUUUAGAUAGUUUCUCUAACAGAACGGACAAAUGAGGCUGCAUACUAAUUUAUUUUUGUCAAAAAUCAAUGUUUUGACAUCCACAGACAGUGAAAUAAAAGAAAUGGCUUGCUGAAAAACAUAAGGAGUCCUAGCCACAAAAUCACUGCUUAGGUUGCAAUUGCCAAAAUGAAGCCUUCUUAGAAGCACUUCUUUAGUAUAUACAGGUGUUGGCUGAAGUCUGUGCCUCACUCUGGGAACCAUUCUUAGUCUCCAGUGUCUCCUAUUACAAAGAAGCUGGCAGAAAUAAAAAUGAAGGGGUGAGAGCGGUUCCACCCUAGUCUCAUGGUGGAAAAUUCACUGGGGAGAGCUGUCCAGGAUACUUGGAGUCCUGGGUAGAAGGAGCCUGUAACUACUUUAAAGUAGACGUCUUUGCACAGGUGAUUGAGUUUCUCUGACCUCAUUGCUUCACCUCUGUCUCCUCCUGUCCUUCCGCACUUGCUCACACACACGCAGUUCAGCCCUCUUUCCUCCAUAAGCCUCCAUCGUUUUCUCUUUUCUCCUCUUGAUCCUUUCAAGCGAGUAUCUUGUUGAAUUGUAUGUUCUGUUGGAUCUCCUCCUUCAUAACAUCUGGCUUGUUGGACAGAAAAACCCUACAGCCCACCCCCUCCCACAGCCCACCUCCACUUUUGAAAGCCCAAAUUACGCCUCUCCCAGAACACAGUGUUGACGUAAAUACGGUUACCCAAUAUUCCUGUUUAUUCACCUAUUUGCUACUUUCACUCAGUAGCAUCCCAUUUUGUAAAAUGAAUUCCAUGGUCACCCUGUCACAGGAAGUAAUGAAAAAUCCAGUGUUCAGUGUAGUUGUGCAAACCUGAGGGCAUAGAGCUGUUCAUAGAGGGCUCUUGUUAUAGCCAAACAGACACAGCAACAAUCUCACCAUCUAUAUAUAUAUUUUUAACUUGUCCAGCUCAUCUAUGGAAAACUACUCAGGUGGUAUGCUGUUUGAAGCCUCAUCUUCCUACAUGAAAAUUAUGGGCAUUUGUCCCAAUGAUUUUGUUUCAGCUGUUCUGUAGGCUGCAUAACCACUCUGAUAUUUAGGUAUCUGCUAUUUUAUUAUCUUAAAAGACAAAUUAAUUUAAUUGCAUGUGCUAGGGAAAAGCUACCAUGUAAAUUCACCCCAAGUAAAUAGAAUCCUAGAUGAAUCCUAGAAAAAUAAUCCCUAAGCAGAUAGGUAGACAGAGGUAAACAUUCACAUGAUUUAGCUCUCUAGCUCUUGCACUCUGAACAUUCUUGCUUUGGUUCUGACUUCUGGGAACUGCUUUGCAUUUCUCCUAUAGAUCUGUAGUUAAGGGAACCAAGGGGUCAUUGGGGCACAAGCAUUGUUUCUCAAAGCUCCUUGAUUAAGAGAAAGAACAGAAAUUUGCACAGAAGAUACUGUCAAGGAGUGAGAAAGUUUGUUUGAGGGCAGUAGCUCAGUGUGGAAGAAAAUCCUGAAGUUUCUGUUGAAGCCAUACAAUGUUCUAUGGGGUUACUCUCUAAGACAUUCUCUGAGGUGUGUGAGGAAGUCACUACUCCUAGCCUUUGUUAAGAUGUAAUUUUAAAUAUUCAGUUAUGGUACUAUGUUUGCAACUCUCGUCUUAUCACAAUGCCUCAGUAGUUUGUUCCCUUAGAAACAUUUAGAUGUGCACAAAUUAAUCUUUUAUAUAUCUAAAGGUUUUUCUAUCAUGUAUUGGAUUGCUCAGAAUAAAGUGUCUGUUAGACUUCGUUUUGGUAAAUAAAUUCUCCAUAAUGUAGAUUAAUAAUAUAAAAG
rnacentral:lncRNA from 1 species